UACAUACUCCCUCCGUCCGAAAAUACUUGUCAUUAAAAUGGACAAAAAGGGAUGUAUCAAAAUGGACAAAAAGGGAUGUAUCUAGAACUAAAAUACAUCUAAAUACAUCUCUUUUUAUCCAUUUUGAUGACAAGUAUUUUCGGACGAAGGGAGUAGAUA
rfam:Triticum urartu cultivar G1812 contig637305, whole genome shotgun sequence.